rnacentral:rRNA from 1 species
CGCGUAGGCGGUUCGCUAAGUUGGAUGUGAAAACUCUGGGCUCAACCCAGAGCCUGCAUCCAAAACUGGCGGGCUAGAGUUCUGGAGGGGGUAGCGGAAUUCCUGGUGUAGCGGUGAAAUGCGUAGAUAUCAGGAGGAACACCGGUGGCGAAGGCGGCUACCUGGACAGAAACUGACGCUGAGGCGCGAAAGCUAGGGGAGCAAACAGGAUUAGAUACCCUGGUAGUCCUAGCCCUAAACGAUAGAUACUUGGUGUGACUGGGAUUGAAUCCAGUCGUGCCGAAGCUAACGCAUUAAGUAUCCCGCCUGGGGAGUACGGUCGCAAGGCUGAA